AUUGAACGCUGGCGGCAUGCUUUACACAUGCAAGUCGAACGGCAGCACGGGCUUCGGCCUGGUGGCGAGUGGCGAACGGGUGAGUAAUAUAUCGGAACGUACCCAGAAGUGGGGGAUAACGUAGCGAAAGUUACGCUAAUACCGCAUAUGAUCUAUGGAUGAAAGCAGGGGACCGCAAGGCCUUGUGCUCCUGGAGCGGCCGAUAUCUGAUUAGCUAGUUGGUGAGGUAAAGGCUCACCAAGGCGACGAUCAGUAGCUGGUCUGAGAGGACGACCAGCCACACUGGAACUGAGACACGGUCCAGACUCCUACGGGAGGCAGCAGUGGGGAAUUUUGGACAAUGGGCGCAAGCCUGAUCCAGCAAUGCCGCGUGAGUGAAGAAGGCCUUCGGGUUGUAAAGCUCUUUUGUCAGGGAAGAAACGGUAGAGGCUAAUAUCCUUUGCUAAUGACGGUACCUGAAGAAUAAGCACCGGCUAACUACGUG
rnacentral:rRNA from 1 species